rnacentral:lncRNA from 1 species
CUCUUGUUCGACCUUCUCUUCAUUAAUUACAACAAACAUGGAGUUUUUUGGAUAAAGCUCAAGAACAAUAGAUCAUUUUCCAGCUUGCCAUAGUAUUUCUGUAUAAAUUACAUUACGAUGACGAGAAACAUCAUAUUGUCUUUCUCAGCUUCUUUCAUUGUUCAUGUGUUGGCAAGUUUAGGUGUUUUAUAGUUGUUGUCUCUGUCAUCCUUUCGUCACUUAAAAGGUAGAUUUAAUGCUGGUAGCUAAGUGUUUUACUUCUUUGCCAUAAGCUCUCCUACAGAUCUUUAACAGCAUUGGCUUCAGCAAAUAUACUGGUAAUUCAGAAAUCACGUUUCAUAUUAUUCUGUAUUGUUUUCUUUUUCUGCUAGCCACUGUCCCUUUUGUUUAAGAUCUAGACCUUCCUUUUGUUUAAGAUCUAGACCUUCCAGUAAUGCUCAGUUAUUGGGUAGUAGUAGGCAGCUAUUUUAGCCGUGGUUAUCCUUGCUCUUGGAAUUGAUCUGCAUUUGAUCCAUCAAUAUGAUGACUUCACUUCUUUCUGAAUAUGAAAGGAACAUCAAUUGUUUAAUACCGAUGCGUUUUUUAGGGUAUUGUCAAUAAGCUGUAUUACAAAACCAUGCCCUUAUGACCUUGCAGAUCGUCAUUUAUAGAACUUCUUUUUUGAUAUCAUUAUUGCUGCAAUUUUAUUCCACUUAAGAGU